UACGUAGGGUGCGAGCGUUGUCCGGAAUUAUUGGGCGUAAAGAGCGUGUAGGCGGCCAGGUAGGUCUGCUGUGAAAACUCGAGGCUUAACCUCGAGAUGUCGGCGGAAACCAUCUGGCUAGAGUCCGGAAGAGGAGAGCGGAAUUCCUGGUGUAGCGGUGAAAUGCGCAGAUAUCAGGAGGAACACCAAUGGCGAAGGCAGCUCGCUGGGACGGUACUGACG
rnacentral:rRNA from 1 species